rnacentral:rRNA from 1 species
UGCUGUGAACUCGAAGAGUAGGGCGGGACACGUGGUAUCCUGUCUGAAUAUGGGGGGACCAUCCUCCAAGGCUAAAUACUCCUGACUGACCGAUAGUGAACCAGUACCGUGAGGGAAAGGCGAAAAGAACCCCGGCGAGGGGAGUGAAAAAGAACCUGAAACCGUGUACGUACAAGCAGUGGGAGCCUCUUUAUGGGGUGACUGCGUACCUUUUGUAUAAUGGGUCAGCGACUUAUAUUCUGUAGCAAGGUUAACCGUAUAGGGGAGCCGAAGGGAAACCGAGUCUUAACUGGGCGUUAAGUUGCAGGGUAUAGACCCGAAACCCGGUGAUCUAGCCAUGGGCAGGUUGAAGGUUGGGUAACACUAACUGGAGGACCGAACCGACUAAUGUUGAAAAAUUAGCGGAUGACCUGUGGCUGGGGGUGAAAGGCCAAUCAAACCGGGAGAUAGCUGGUUCUCCCCGAAAGCUAUUUAGGUAGCGCCUCGUGAAUUCAUCUUCGGGGGUAGAGCACUGUUUCGGCUAGGGGGCCAUCCCGGCUUACCAACCCGAUGCAAACUACGAAUACCGAAGAAUGUUAUCACGGGAGACACACGGCGGGUGCUAACGUCCGUCGUGAAGAGGGAAACAACCCAGACCGCCAGCUAAGGUCCCAAAGUCAUGGUUAAGUGGGAAACGAUGUGGGAAGGCACAGACAGCCAGGAUGUUGGCUUAGAAGCAGCCAUCAUUUAAAGAAAGCGUAAUAGCUCACUGGUCGAGUCGGCCUGCGCGGAAGAUGUAACGGGGCUAAACCAUGCACCGAAGCUGCGGCAGCGACACUAUGUGUUGUUGGGUAGGGGAGCGUUCUGUAAGCCGUUGAAGGUGUGCUGUGAGGCAUGCUGGAGGUAUCAGAAGUGCGAAUGCUGACAUAAGUAACGAUAAAGCGGGUGAAAAGCCCGCUCGCCGGAAGACCAAGGGUUCCUGUCCAACGUUAAUCGGGGCAGGGUGAGUCGACCCCUAAGGCGAGGCCGAAAGGCGUAGUCGAUGGGAAACAGGUUAAUAUUCCUGUACUUGGUGUUACUGCGAAGGGGGGACGGAGAAGGCUAUGUCAGCCGGGCGACGGUUGUCCCGGUUUAAGCAUGUAGGCGGAGGUUCCAGGUAAAUCCGGUACCUUAUUAACGCUGAGGUGUGAUGACGAGGCACUACGGUGCUGAAGUGAUAAAUGCCCUGCUUCCAGGAAAAGCCUCUAAGCAUCAGGUAACACGAAAUCGUACCCCAAACCGACACAGGUGGUCAGGUAGAGAAUACCAAGGCGCUUGAGAGAACUCGGGUGAAGGAACUAGGCAAAAUGGUGCCGUAACUUCGGGAGAAGGCACGCUGAUGUGUAGGUGAAGCCCCUGCGGGCGGAGCUGAAAUCAGUCGAAGAUACCAGCUGGCUGCAACUGUUUAUUAAAAACACAGCACUGUGCAAACACGAAAGUGGACGUAUACGGUGUGACGCCUGCCCGGUGCCGGAAGGUUAAUUGAUGGGGUUAGCGGCAACGCGAAGCUCUUGAUCGAAGCCCCGGUAAACGGCGGCCGUAACUAUAACGGUCCUAAGGUAGCGAAAUUCCUUGUCGGGUAAGUUCCGACCUGCACGAAUGGCGUAAUGAUGGCCAGGCUGUCUCCACCCGAGACUCAGUGAAAUUGAACUCGCUGUGAAGAUGCAGUGUACCCGCGGCAAGACGGAAAGACCCCGUGAACCUUUACUAUAGCUUGACACUGAACACUGGUCCUUGAUGUGUAGGAUAGGUGGGAGGCUUUGAAGCGUGGACGCCAGUCUGCGUGGAGCCAACCUUGAAAUACCACCCUUUAAUGGCUGGUGUUCUAACGUGGACCCGUUACCCGGGUUGCGGACAGUGUCUGGUGGGUAGUUUGACUGGGGCGGUCUCCUCCCAAAGAGUAACGGAGGAGCACGAAGGUUGGCUAAUCCUGGUCGGACAUCAGGAGGUUAGUGCAAUGGCAUAAGCCAGCUUGACUGCGAGCGUGACGGCGCGAGCAGGUGCGAAAGCAGGUCAUAGUGAUCCGGUGGUUCUGAAUGGAAGGGCCAUCGCUCAACGGAUAAAAGGUACUCCGGGGAUAACAGGCUGAUACCGCCCAAGAGUUCAUAUCGACGGCGGUGUUUGGCACCUCGAUGUCGGCUCAUCACAUCCUGGGGCUGAAGUAGGUCCCAAGGGUAUGGCUGUUCGCCAUUUAAAGUGGUACGCGAGCUGGGUUUAGAACGUCGUGAGACAGUUCGGUCCCUAUCUGCCGUGGGCGCUGGAGAAUUGAGGGGGGCUGCUCCUAGUACGAGAGGACCGGAGUGGACGCAUCACUGGUGUUCGGGUUGUCAUGCCAAUGGCACUGCCCGGUAGCUAAAUGCGGAAGAGAUAAGUGCUGAAAGCAUCUAAGCACGAAACUUGCCCCGAGAUGAGUUCUCCCUGAGACUUUAAGUCUCCUGAAGGAACGUUGAAGACGACGACGUUGAUAGGUCGGGUGUGUAAGCGCAGCGAUGCGUUGAGCUAACCGAUACUAAUGAACCGUGAGGCUUAACCUU